GGGCGUAGGCUUAGUCUGGGAACAGUUGGAACGGCUGCUAAUACCGGAUGUGCCUGUGGGUGAAAGGUUAACUGCCUGAAGAUGAGCUCGCGUCCGAUUAGUUAGUUGGUGUGGUAAGAGCGCACCAAGACGGCGAUCGGUAGCUGGUCUGAGAGGACGACCAGCCACACUGGGACUGAGACACGGCCCAGACUCCUACGGGAGGCAGCAGUGGGGAAUUUUCCGCAAUGGGCGAAAGCCUGACGGAGCAAUACCGCGUGAGGGAGGAAGGCUCUUGGGUUGUAAACCUCUUUUCUCAAGGAAUAAUAACUGAAGGGACUUGAGGAAUCAGCAUCGGCUAACUCCCUGCCAACAGCCCCGGUAAUACCGAGGAUGCAAGCCUUAUCCGGAAUGAUUGGGCCUAAAGGGUCCCCAGGUGGUGUUUCAAGUUUGUUGUUAAAAAACCUGGCUCAACUUGGUUAAGGCAAUGGAAACUGGAAGACUUGAGUGGAGUAGGGGUAAAGGGAAUUUCCAGUGUUGCGGUGAAAUUCGUUGAGGUUGGGAAGAACUCCGGUGGCGGACGGGCUCUGGUGGAAUGGCCUGACCCUGUGGGGCCCAGGCUGGGGACCGAAUGUUUUAUUUCCCCGUUUUAAAAA
rnacentral:rRNA from 1 species